CCUACGGGCGGCAGCAGUGAGGAAUAUUGGUCAAUGGUCGGGAGACUGAACCAGCCAAGCCGCGUGAGGGAGGAAGGUACAGAGUAUCGUAAACCUCUUUUGUCAGGGAACAAAGACUGGGACGCGUCCCCGGAUGAGUGUACCUGAAGAAAAAGCAUCGGCUAACUCCGUGCCAGCAGCCGCGGUAAUACGGAGGAUGCGAGUGUUAUCCGGUUUUAUUGGGUUAAAAGGGUGCGCAGGGGGGUUGUUAAGUCAGCGGUAAAAGCCCGGGGCACACCCCCGGACCGCCGUUGAAACUGGCAGUCUCGAGUUGGCUAGAGGUAUGCGGAAUGCGCGGUGUAGCGGUGAAAUGCAUAGAUAUCGCGCAGAACUCCGAUUGCGAAGGCAGCAUGCCGGCUCCACACUGACGCUGAGGCACGAAAGCGUGGGUAUCGAACAGGAUUAGAUACCCUAGUAGUC
rnacentral:rRNA from 1 species